CCACACUUCAGCCGCACUCCAGGCCUUCAGGGUCAGGACCCAGCUGUUCCAACCAUCCCCGUGGCAGAGUUGGCCUGACCUCUGACCUCCAGCCCCCUAAGGGCCAAAUGACCAGUGGGUGCCCAGAACUGUCCCAGGUCUCUGGCUCCCUCCAGGAAUCCUCCUCCUAGAAGAUGGAAGCUUCUUUGACCCAGCCAAGCCCAGAGAAAUUGAGGGACCUACAGAAGCCUCGUUGGCUUGGGGAGGUUAAACACAACCUUUGACCAACUGGUGGUAAGCGCUAAACUAGGCCGACCCAGGCGUGAUUUCUAGGAAGCCAGAAGUUCUUAAAAAUGAGGAGGAGGAGAGAGAAGCUGAGCAGAGACAUGAAAAGCUACACACUGUGGCGCAAACAGACGCAUGGAAUUGGCCCAGGCAAGCCACUAAACAACAGGAAAAACAGCAGCAAAAUCACAAGGCCAUCGGCCAAUCCUAACCCAAAGGCUCUCAUUCUGUUGCCCAGGCUGGAGUGCAGUGGUGCGACCACAGCUUACUGCAGCCUUGACCUCCCGGGCUCAAGUGAGCCUCCCACCUCAACCUCCCAAGUAGCUGGGACUACAGAGAUGGGGUUUUGCCAUGUUGUCCAAGCUGAUCUUGAACUCCUAGGCUCAAGUGAUCCGCCUGCCUCUGCCUCCCAAAAGUGCUGGGAUUACAAGCGCAAGCACCACGUCUGCCAUCUUCUUUCUACAUAUAGAAUGUUAUGUUAUAAAAAGUGUCGUCAUCUUAAGAGAGCAUCAGAGAAUGCAUCAAAGAAAUGUAGGGGAAACCUGUUGGAGUCAAAUAUGUCAGGCAGGUUUUCUGCAUUUUGUGAUGUUUGUAGUAUUUGUCAACUUUUAAAAUGUUUGUUAUGUGUUGGGACUUGUUUUCUCACUAUUCACUUAGUUUUGGAUAUAUAAUUUUGUCUUAUGUUUCAAAAGAAGACUGUGUGGAAGAGUUAACGGCAGGCCUGAGAAGCUCUUCUUCACAGGGGUCUGGAAUUUCGGCACAUGCUUGGCACAGACUGUGUAUGUGACCAGCCCUCCAUAAAACCCCAGGGCGCCGAGUGUCUUAAGAAGCUUCCCAGGCAGACAGCAUUUCACACACACAGCUCCAGCUUCUUCCUGUGGAGUCCACUAGGAGAGGACGCGGCCAGCUCACACCUGAUUUCCUGUGGAAUUCAUCCCCUGCACCUUUUCUCUUUGCUGAUUCAGACUUAUAUGCUCUCUGUGUAAUAAUCUUAGCCGUGAGGACAAGUCUAUAGUGAGUACUUCUAGCAAAUCGGUUACUCUGGAGGGGUCUUGGGGAUACUUCUCAUGGCCCCUGAAUCUGUAUAAGCUUUAGGCCUCCAAAAUUUGAAUUGACCCGUGUGUACCCUAAAGC